GAUGAACGCUAGCGGCAGGCCUAACACAUGCAAGUCGAGGGGGAAGUUACUUUCGGGUAACUGAGACCGGCGUACGGGUGCGUAACGCGUAUACAAUCUGCCUUUCACUGGGGGAUAGCCCGAAGAAAUUUGGAUUAAUACCCCAUAGUAUAGUAGUGUGGCAUCACACAACUAUUAAAGCUUAGGUGGUGAAAGAUGAGUAUGCGUUCUAUUAGCUAGUUGGAGAGGUAACGGCUCCCCAAGGCUAUGAUAGAUAGGGGUUCUGAGAGGGAUGUCCCCCACACUGGUACUGAGAUACGGACCAGACUCCUACGGGAGGCAGCAGUGAGGAAUAUUGGACAAUGGUCGGAAGACUGAUCCAGCCAUGCCGCGUGCAGGAUGAAGGUCUUAUGGAUUGUAACCUGCUUUUGUAAGGGAAGAAUAAGGACUACGUGUAGUUUGAUGACGGUACCUGAUGAAUAAGCAUCGGCUAACUCCGUG
rnacentral:rRNA from 1 species